UACGUAGGGUGCGAGCGUUGCCCCGGAUUUAUUGGGCGUAAAGAGCUCGUAGGCGGCUGGUCACGUCGGAUGUGAAAGCCCGGGGCUUAACCCCGGGUCUGCAUUCGAUACGGGCAGGCUAGAGUGUGGUAGGGGAGAUCGGAAUUCCUGGUGUAGCGGUGAAAUGCGCAGAUAUCAGGAGGAACACCGGUGGCGAAGGCGGAUCUCUGGGCCAUUACUGACGCUGAGGAGCGAAAGCGUGGGGAGCGAACAGG
rnacentral:rRNA from 1 species